rnacentral:rRNA from 1 species
UAGUUCAAUGGCCGCGGUACCCUGACCGUGCAAAGGUAGCAUAAUCACUUGCCCCUUAAUUAGGGGCUGGCAUGAAAGGACACACGAAAGCUUCCCUGUCUCACAAUAACAAAUAAAAAUUAAUCUUCAAGUGAAAAAGCUUGAAUAAAAUUGCAGGACAAGAAGACCCCGUUGAGCUUUAUUCUCUAUAGACUAAAUCAAAUAUUAAAUACAUCAUAAACCUAAAAAGAAUUUAGUUGGGGUGACUAAGGAACACCGAAAACUUCCUUUUAUUAAUUAGGAUCAUUCUCCAUACAAAUUGACCCAUUACACAUGAUCAAAAAAAUAAGCUACCACAGGGAUAACAGGCUAAUCUUUCUCAAGAGCCCAAAUUGUCAGAAAGGAUUGGCACCUCGAUGUUGGCUUAGGGGCCCCUAAUGGUGCAGAAGCCAUAAAUGGUAGGUUUGUUCAACCUUUAAAACCCUACGUGAUCUGAGUUC